UCUUUCAGCUAAGAAGGAGGAGGGGGCGAGGGUGGGAGGGGAGGAAGUAACUGAGGCCGCGGGGAGGAGGAGCUCUCAGGGAGGAGCAGCCUGGAGGCGGGUGUUGCCCAGGUGCGAUUUGGGCACUGAGGAGGACUUGGGAGUCUGGGAGGAGUUUAGGGCCGAAAAUCUUUGCCUGUUGGGGGCAGGACUAAGGUAGGAGAGGCACUGGGAGGCCUAAAGGGCAGAGCCUCCGUGUGAUUGGAGGAAAGGGCUCAACCGUCCUGGGGGCGGGGUUCUUGGGACCGGGAAGAUCCUCCCAGACUGGACUGAGAGGGAACGCGAAGUGUACCUUGACAUUCCCCUCCAUUCCCUGCUGCAGAAACUGCUCAGCUUUCCUUGGGAAUUCCGGUGUCUCCCCGUUUCCCCCGGGAGCUCGGAUCUCUCCCCGAUUUCCCCGGGAGCUCAGAUCUUUCCCUUUCCCCCGGGAGCUCGGAUCUCUCUUCUUUUUUCCCUGGGAACCAAGAUCACCGACACUCAGGAAACCAGGCCUGUGCUUGCAGCUCCCAGGGAGCCAGAAGCCAGAGGGAAUGGGCCCUGGGAGCCUCGGACCUCCUCCCCAGGAGACGGUGACGUUCAAGGACGUGGCUGUGGACUUCACUAAGGAGGAGUGGGGGCUCUUGGACCCCUCUCAGAAGGAGCUGUACCAGGAGGUCAUGGUGGAGAACGCCCGGAACCUGCUCUCCCUGGGUGAAAGAUUAAAUCAGUGGAAGCCUCUCAAACGUGGAACUAAUCUUAGGGUUAAUGUCUACCUGGACCCAAAGUUUGUCUGCCAGAAUACAUGUGUGUGUGUGUGUCUGCGUGUAUAUAAUAUGCACGUAUCUAUCUAUCUAUAUUUAUUUACAUGUCUAUUAUUUCUGUAUGUAUAAAAGUGUCUAUAUAAUGGCAGCCAUCUCUGGGUUGGGACAGGCAAAGUGAAGCUAAAAUAAUUACUAAAUAAUUUUCUUGUCUGUUUGAAAGUAAUAGAAAGUUGUACAUUGUGGAUUUACAGUUUC